rnacentral:lncRNA from 1 species
UGUUUAGCAGAAAUAGCUUGUACUAGAAGAAUCACGAUGUUCCCAAAUUAUUUAUGGAAAUACAUGAGUUACGAUAUAAAACUUUUAAACCUGCUAGAUUGCUGAUGUCCAGGAUGGACUUUGCUGAGGAAUUUAAAAGAGAAGAUUAUGGAGGAGAGAGAAAAGAGAUCCAAGAAUUAGUGAACUCAGAUGUGAAGGAAUGAGAUUCAAGUAUCAUUUAUUCAGACAGAGUUUUGACACAUAUGCAGGAAAAGAAAAUAUAAUUAUACAUUACAAAAAUUACUGGAUAAGAAAAUGAGCAAUUUGAUACAGAUUUGCUGUGUAAAAUUUGAGGUGCAAUAUUUGUAGUUAAACAUUUAUAUAAAUGAAAGCUGUGUGUAUAUUUCUGUACAAAUGAUGAAGGUGACCCUGAUUUAAGUCAUUCAAUAAAAGAACAUUUAAAUAUGUAAAUCAGAGAUGAAUUCAGUUUAGGGAGGGUUAUCAAAAAUGUCUGUUAUCUUUGAACAUGAACAUAUGCUCACUAUGCUAAUUCUGUAGGCUCCUUAGAUCAAAUGCUGGCGUAUUUCAGUGUUUUGCAUCACUUAAAAUUUUAACUUCAGAUUCCAUCCCCAGUUUUCCUUUUUUGUAUGCUUUUUUUUUUCCCUAUUACCAAAUGCCAAAUUAUGAAGGGCCAUCUGAAGUGAAAAAAUCUUACUGUAUUUCUCUGUUAGGCUUUAGAUGUUGCAUCUUGCUGUUUCCUGACCUGAGAACUGUCCAGAAGAAUACGAGACCAGAACUUGGCCACUCCGUAAACUUAGUUGGCUCAGACAUUGCACGAAAGUGAAGAAAAGUGUGCCACCAAGAAAUGUCAUCAACAGCCACCACCACAACCACAAGUAAAUGUCUGGUGAGUGUUGAUUUUCUUUCCACUUAUCCAUGACUGUUCCUCAGACUCUGAAUGGUCUUUAUUUCUUUAUUUUCUUACUCUGACGCACUGGAAUUGAGAGAGGGCAUUUAAAAACAUUUUCAUGUAGAUCAUCAGUUGUUUUUUGGGGUUUAAAUCACUGGCUAGCAGGUAUCACUGAUAGUCCUUGUCUGACUAACAGGUGGUGUAUAUUUAGAUAUAGUAUAACCUAUGGAAAUAAAUCAGCCCAGGUUCAUCA